rnacentral:lncRNA from 1 species
GGAAGCCCAGGAUUCACUUCCAAGGCAGGACUCACAUGCUGGAAGGGUAACAGGCAGCACUUGGAGCACUGAACGUGCGUGCUCCGCCUUCAGAGGAGAUCGGGAUUCUGAGUGUGUGUUUGAAAGGAAUGGGCAGGACACAGCAUUUGAGAGCCAGAACAGAGCCUUCUCAGAGGGGAGAGAUGGCGUGUGUCUCAACUCUGGAAGAUGGUUUCAUUUGAACAGUUCGGAAGAGAGAAGUCAUAAUUGUGACUCAGGUAAAACUUCCCUCCCAAAUCCAACAGUCAUAAAAGAAACCAGAAUCUAUUCAGGAAAAAAACUUUUCAAAUGUAAUGAAUGUAAGAAAACUUUCACCCAGAGCUCAUCCCUUACUGUUCACCAGAGAAUCCAUACUGGAGAGA